rnacentral:lncRNA from 1 species
CGCAGACCAAAAGAAACACACAGCACGCCUCCAUUCUUCUAUAGUCCGCUCCUCAAGCGAUUCCCGAUUGCUUGCCGCCCUAUCACUACGAUUUCCAUCGGCGUCGCACUCCACAGAUUCGCUUCAGGUUCGAUAUUCUUCAAUCUUUUCCUGCUUUCGUUCAAUUGCAUUUGCAUUUUGGCUGCUCUAGGUUUUACCUUUUCCCCUGAUUUCAGUUGAAAUGGAAAUCAUAUUAGUUGUUGUAAUCGAAAUCUGUGUGCUUUUCUUCAAUUCUUUCCUUCUUUCGAUUUUCUUCAAUCCUGUAGAUGUAUAUGUGAAACUGCAAUAGGUUAUGUGUAUAUGUGAAACUGCAAUUGCUACUGUUAACAGGGACAUACAGAUUGUGUUCAUAACUGGAACGUAGACAUUGUUUUGAAUGAUGAUCUUAAGGGGGUGUUUGGCUUGGCUUUUCAAAGCCAAAAGUAUGUUUGGCAAAAUGGUUUCUUUUGAAGUUUUUACAUAAGCAAAAAGAACUUUUUGGAAAAGUCAAGAAAUCCUGACUUUUUGUAACUUUUCCAAAAAGAACUUUUGAGGUUUAAAAAGCCAAGCCAAACACCCUCUAAGAUGCUUAUGUGAUACACCAACCAUGAUAAUCUUGUUGAUGGUGGUAUAUCGAAAAAGAAACUUAAGCCUAAACAAUUGCUAUUAGUUUAAAAAGAAAAUGUUAGUUAUAAUAAGAAAAAUAAGUCAUAAUAUAAAAGGAAGCCCUUUUUGGUAAAUUUACACAUAUAAGCAUUUUUUUUUUUUUUUUUUUGCCGAACACUAAAAAUGGCUUAUCAGCUGAUAGCGUUUUGACACGGUAUAAGGUUAGCCAAACACAUUUUUAAAAAACUCUGUUUUAAAUAUAAGUUAAAAAGUUAAAAUCACUUUUAAUAAGCUUAGCCAAAAACCCUGUAAAUUCAUAUAACCGAAAUGUAUCUUUUCUGGUGAAGGAACAAAGUGAAGAACAAAAUGUAAUUGUAAAUAUUUUAAUGUUUCUGUGGUUUGAUUUAAUUCUGCAUAGGGUAGGUAUAUCUCAUGAUGCGUACUAACAUUUUAUUUGCCUAUUUAUGUUAUUUUAAUCAACUUUAACGUUUCAAAUACCUGGGUAUUUAGUUAUUAGCUUGUUUGUUGUUGGUAUAUAGCUGUUUGAAAGCAGAAUGCUAAAAAGAGAGACUACAGUUAUUGAUUUCUGUUACAAUUGAAUUAUUGUUUUUAUGAUUGCAAUGCACGGGGUUAGCAUAUUAUAGAUUGAGAAUUUAAGUAAUCUUGUAUUAGUUUGACAGACUUGAAGAAUGUAGUUAGUUUAUAUUAAUGUUAUUAUUAUUAUGUUUUAUAAUUGUUUUUGUUGAUGUUAUUGAUUGAUAUAGAUAUAGGUAGAAGAUUGAAUAAUGAGUGGAAUAAGCUUGGUGAUAUCAAAACCUUGGUGUAGGGUGUAUAAUCCUUGUACAGGUGAAAAUAAUAAGAGUAAUUUUGGUACAAGCAAUAAGAUCCAUUUUGGUACAAAACCAAACAAUAAGAUGGACUUAAUCCCAUGUCAUUUAUCAAAUUCAAACUUAAGAAUUUCUUCUCCUGUUGCAACCAAUCACAUGUUGAAACAUCGUGUGUAUUCAUCAUCAUCAUCAUCAUCAUCAUAUGCACGUAAAGAUGUAACCGAUUCAACAUCUCAACCACCUUAUGGCUUGUAUGGCCUUGUUGCUAUUAUUGGUUAGGCUUUGCCUAAAGCCUGGGAGGCCGCUAUGCAUUUUAUUUCUGCUACGGAAGGUAGGUAACUUUAUCUGCCUUGCCUUGUCCCCCCUUUUUUUAAUGAUAUAAUAUACUGAGAAAUACGACUACAAAAUUUCUCAUAAUCUGUAUUUAUUUUUUUUCAGGAGUUUUGAAAUCAAAUGCGUGUUACUAUAUCUUUCUAGGGGUUGCAGCUGUUUUUGUAGCUAGAAGCUUUCUUGGCAAUAUCAUGCGUGGGUUUGCAUUACUACGUAACAAACCCUUUUCAAUUGGAGAUAUGAUAGAAGUACGUAAAUAAGCUUUCUGAUAUAUUUUAUCUUUCGUAUGAGUAUGAAUUUGUUCUUAUUUCGAGUGUUUUUUUUGCAGGUUGGACAUUUGAAAGGUGAGGUUAUUGAUAUGGGACUCAUAACGACCUCAUUGCUUACUGAGGAAAACCGUCGUGCAUUACUUCCUACUUCCUGGCUUAGUGGACAGGUCUUUCAUCGUUACCCUUGAAAGUUAUUAUGUCAUUAUAAAGUCUUUUUGUUGGUUAAGUACAAAUUUUGGGUUCAUAUUCUUUGUUUAUCGAGUUUUAUAUUACUACCCUUGUGAUAAAGUUUUUUGCCCUCUUUUAUAGGAUUAUGUGAACAUAACUGGGUCUCCAGCGCAUGCGAUGGUUUUCAAGAUUGAUUUGAGCAUUGAUGAGAUUGAGAAGAUCCCCGAGAUAUCAGAGGAAAUAAUAAACAUGAUGAAGUCUAACUCAAUCAUUUACUUGGAGCAAGAGCAGCCGUAUUGUUAUCUUUCUCAAGUGGACCCUCUUGGUUUCACACUUACUAUUGGAUGCAAACUAAAAGAGGGGGUACGUAUAGCAUACUUCCUCAAACAUUUCAAAUCAUAAUUUGCCUCCAUUACCAAAUAAUAUUUUUUUUAUCAAGACAUUAUAUUUCGUAAAUCUACCUAAUAAUAGCAUUAAACUUUCAACUUUUUUUAUGUUAUAUAUAAGUCUUUGUAAAUAGAUAAUAUAGAUAUAGUAAGGAUGAUUUUUCAAAGGAAGAAAUGAAAGUAGGAUGCUAGAAUAUACAAAUAAGUAGAAAGUAAGAUGGUAGAUGUUGAAUUUCUAGAAUUCAUCUAAAAUUUUCUUAUGCCUAUUUUAUAUUAUGCAGUGUGAAGACGAGUUUUAUUCAGCUAAGUAUGAUAUCUUUAGGCAGGCGAUUCAGAUAAUGAAGAAGCAUGGGGCCUACCUAGAUAUGAACUAGAUUUUCUUUCUUUCGAGUAAUCGCAAAACCUUAACAGAAACCUUUUAUGUACAUUGCUUUUGGUUUAGCUUGUUGAUAGAAAAAUGAGAAGAAGGCAAUUCUUCUGCUUUAUUGAAUUAAAACAUCCAAUCGUCGAUAUAAAUACAAAUCCAAGAGAAGAAGGCAAUGGAAGGUCAUAAGACGUUACUAGGUAAGACAUUUUGAAGGCAAAAGAAUCAACUACAAUUAUAAUCAAGAUGGCAUAGUUAUAAAUCAAACAUAAAAUAUGGGUGCUUUUGGAAGAAACAUGAAUGCAAAUAAUUCUUCUAUUACUAUUGGUAUUUAAUUGAACAUGGAGAUCAAGAAUUCUUCUAUUACUAUGUGAAGUUCAUGUAUAUUCAAGGAAUGAAAAUCAAACAUGAAUGGAAAACAAUACCAGUUCAAAACAUGCUGACAUUUGGGAUUGCUUUUUUCCUAGGUUUUCCAUGGUAUCGGAACCAAAUAACUUAAUAUCAUUUUCUCCAAAAUCAUAGAACUAGUGUCGGACCAUAUAUGCUUAAUCGGUACCGGUUAAGCUUCCAUUCUGAUAUGAGGCCAGUUUGAGAUCGUGUAUCAUAUCAAUCCUAUGUGCCCGCAUCUGUGACUGAAAGCAUUUGGUUUUCAACUUAUGCUAACAAGAUGACAAGACUCUAGAGCAUCUUAAUUGGGUUUUAAAUAUAAACUUAAAUAACCUUUGUAAAUUGUCAUAUUGCAAUGUUAUGUGUGCAUGUUUCAUUUUUCUAUAUUUUAAAUUAAAUUAUCAUAUUAUUGGGCUACAAACUAUUGUACAAGAUACUGAUUAUAUCCAAGAUCUUUGUCUUGCCCGGGAUGUUAGUUCGAGUUUUAAGAUAUAAAUGGUAAGGUGAAAACUCUACCCAUAACAAUUACCCCCAUAAAUCUUCAAUCCGGGAUCUAGGGAGUUAGAAAUUUCUAGAUUUAGAAAGUGGAUUACGCUAAUGUGAUGUGACCUAUUUUUCUGGGAUCAAUCUUACCUGUCAAUUAUCUUUGGAAGUUUGGGUUUUGAAUGGUUGAGAUUCGCAUGUAUAAACCCACAGAGAAUUCAUUCAAACUUUAAUCAGCUCACAUUCUUCAAGGUCACCACCGGCUAUUUUACACAAAAAAAAUGUUUUUUAUGCAAUUCCAUUGAAUAAAAUUGUCUUUUCUUAACCCAAACCAAAACUUUUGUUCCAUUCCGUUGAAUAAAAUUGUGAUUUCGUGAUUGUGAUCACUUCUAUUGAAACCACAUAUGUUUUAUCUUGCUAACUGUGUUGACACUACUAGAAAACAUGGGGUUUUCCUAUGGAAAAUGGCUACAGAAUCGCUACGGAUCAGCUACAGAAUGGGAUGCCCUAAUUUAGUAACGGAAUAGCUACAGAUGCUAAUCCGUAGCUAAUUAGCUACGGAAUGGCUACGGGAUACCUACAGAUACUAUUUACCUACAGAUUAGCUACGGAGUAUGUUUUCCGUUAGAAUUCCGUAGCUAAUCCGUAGCUAAGUAGCUACGGAUUUUCCUUAUUUUCGAUUUUUCGGGCACCAAACGUCGUUGUUUUCACUUCGUUUUUUUACACCUCUAUUAUAUAUGAUUAUCUAUAUUUUCACCAACCUAUAGCUAUUAAUAUCGUUCAUAAAGUUGUGUGCCCCUUCGGGAUCAAGUACUCGUUUCACAGUUUAACAUUGUAAUACCAAUACUUUUCACCAACUUGUGAUGGAUUAUGUUUGUAUAUGUAUAUUUAUAUACAUGAAUGAGUUGUGGUAUGUGUACGUGUAUAUGUGUAUGUAUACGUGUUUGUGAGAUGUAUGUGAACAUAUUCAUAAACAUUAUAGUGCUAAACCACUAAACGAGCAAUGGAUCCCGUAUGUGCACACGACUUUAUAAAUGAUAUUAAUAGCUAUAAACAGGUGAAAAUAUAAAUAAUCAUAUAUAAUAGAGGUGUGAAAUAAUGGAACGAAAAAAGCGACGUCUGGUGCCCGAAAAAUAAAAAAUAAGAAAAACCCGUAGCUAAU